rnacentral:rRNA from 1 species
AGCAGCCGCGGUAAUUCCAGCUCCAAUAGCGUAUAUUAAAGUUGUUGCAGUUAAAAGCUCGUAGUUGAAUUUCGGGAUCAAUACGUUGGUCGUGCUUUCGGGUACGUACUGGCGUCAUUGGUUUCUCUCUUCUGACGAACCAUGAUGUCAUUAGUUUGGUGUUAUGGGGGAGUUAGGACUGUUACUUUGAAAAAAAUUAGAGUGUUUAAAGCAAGCUAACGCUUGAAUACAUUAGCAUGGAAUAAUGAAAUAGGACGUUCGAUCCUAUUUUGUUGGUUUCUAGGAUUGACGUAAUGAUUAAUAGGGAUAGUUGGGGGCAUUAGUAUUCAAUUGUCAGAGGUGAAAUUCUUGGAUUUAUUGAAGACUAACUACUGCGAAAGCAUUUGCCAAGAAUGUUUUCAUUAAUCAAGAACGAAAGUUAGGGGAUCGAAGACGAUCAGAUACCGUCGUAGUCUUAACCAUAAACUAUGCCGACUAGGGAUCGGAUGGUGUUAAUUUUUUUAAUGACUCAUUCGGCGCC